UACUGCACCAACUUCUGUUCCUCCAAAUCUUGUAUUUUUAAUGUUAUGCUUAGAUAAUAUAAAAUUUAUAAUCCAGCACUGACAUUCCAUUUAGGUUAUGGACUGGUAUGCUGGACUUGUGCAGAUGGUUUAAGGUCACAUUCCGUUGAAGUCAAAUUUUUAUUGUUUGCAGUUGUAACAAUGUUAUAGGUUAUUACAAUUAGCAUCAUCACUACCAUCACAACUACCAUCGUCAUCUGUUUUGAAAGAACUUGUACAAAUUCUGUCAAUAAAAUGGAGGGCGGAAAUACCUGGCGUAAUCAUUUGUGGCCUGCUUCUUGCUGGGGUCUUGCUUGACUUACUGUGGAAACUCUGAAGAUGGAGCCAAUAUAUUCCUCCAAUAUUUCGGUGAACUUCUACAAAACUACACGGCACCAUGUAGAGUCUCCAUGGUCAAGUGGAACAUGUCAGUAGGAAACCCUAAAGAGCAAAGGUAUCACAUCAUGUACUUACACAGGAUGCUGUCAGUUGGUGAAAAUAAAUGCCAAGAAGAAUGGCUAGUGAACAAUGGGGGAAAAAAGAAAGAAAAAAAGACCCAGGAAGAAUUAGUACGUUCAUGUCUGAUAACCAGAACCCAGGACAACAGUGAAAUGCCACCAGCAUGAGAGUAGAGUGACACAAGUGAAGAUGUUGCUACACCCAGUGAUGCAGCAACUUUGCUAUCUGCAGACAGUAAGGAAUACUUCAGCCCACUGCCUGCUUGCUGAAUGGAGUCCCUGAGGUGAAGAUGUGUCUCAUGUCACAAGUUUAUUACGGGAUAUGUUAUUUGAGAAUUCAAAAUCAGAUAAAUGUGAUUAAUUUGCAUACUCUUCCAUAGCACAAAUCAGUAUAAGUUUCAGUAAUAGUUUCUAAAUGUUGGUUUUCUAAGGCUUUGUUACUCUUUGUUGAUUUUGAUGGACUGGCUCUGUUAAAGAUAUUGUUGUUAAAAGCAGUGGACAUAAUUAAAUUUGACCUAAGUGAGUAGCAUGUACAGAGGCAUCCCAUACCUAGCAAAUUCAUUCAAGUGAUAACUCUUCUGAUUUGUAUUAAGGAGGUGCCUGAUUCAGCUGUUGACUGGGACAUCAGCUAUCCCGAUUGAGGUUGUUUAUGUUUAUUCUCAGUCCCUCACUGCAUAUGCCAGGAUAAUACCACAAACUAGACCUUGACUACCUCUUUUUAUGGCCUCUCCAGUUCAUUAUUCACCAUUAUUUAGGCAGUCAGUGCUGUGUUAUCUGAGUUACUGAGAGUGUUGUUGAAUAAACUACAAAUAAAUAAAUGAUGGCACAAUCUAUGAGUAUAUCUUUUUUGAAGGGAAGUAUCACAUAGGAUAUUUGUCGUCAUUAUGGAUGGAGUGUCAUAGCUUUUCAUUUGACUUCUGGGAUGUCGGGUCCGGUAGAAUGGAGAGACGACCAUGUAAAUUUCUGUAACAGGUAUUUAAUGUUGGUAGAAGGAGAGUGAGCUGGUCACGGUAGCCGAGCGAUCUAAGGAUAUACUGUCUUA